rnacentral:tRNA from 2 species
GGGGCUGUAGCUCAGUUGGGAGAGCGCCUGCCUUGCACGCAGGAGGUCAGCGGUUCGAUCCCGCUCAGCUCCA